AUAUAAAUCUUACAUUGACCGUCACUGUAUCUGUUACCGAUAUAAAUCUUACAUUAACCGUCACUGUAUCUGUUACCGAUAUAAAUCUUACAUUGACCGUCAAUGUAUCUGUUACCGAUAUAAAUCUUACAUUAACCGUCACUGUAUCUGUUACCGAUAUAAAUCUUACAUUGACCGUCACUGUAUCUGUUACCGAUAUAAAUCUUACAUUGACCGUCACUGUAUCUGUUACCGAUAUAAAGCUUAUAUUAAAGGGACACUAUAUUCACCAGAACAACGACAGCUUAUUGAUUUUUUUCUGGUUAGUAGAAUCAUUACCUUCAGG